ensembl:lncRNA
UCCCUCUCCGGCUGGGGGCACUGGCCACUGUGUGCGUGUCCCCCGUGGCCCAGCUGAAAUCCAGCCCACCUCUCUCUGGGAGCCAAGCUGUCCUGGACAGCCUGCUAGCUACUGUGGGCCAGUGCUUUGUCCACCAGGGAGGCACAGACAUACGCACACACCUGGGAUCUCUUGACCGUGGAUGGUUCUGAGUGUGGCUUUGUGUGAAGCUGCUUGAGUCAUUCAGUGGGUGUUACGGGCACACUUCCUCCGGGCCAUGCUCCACAGAUGAUGAGAGCCUUGGCUUCUCCUUCAUCAAAUGCGGACCGGGAUGGGGGUCAGCGGUGGCUCAGCUGGGAACUCCGAGACCCCCAAGGGGCCAGUAUCUCAGAAGCCAGCCACAGCACCACGGGUCUGGAUUGUCGACACCCUGAGCUGUCAGGGUCCUAAGCAGCCGUGCAGAGCGGGGAACACGUGGCUUGUGGUGUUUGGUCACACAGCAUCAGAAGGGAACAGCGUCCCGGCGAGUCAGCCCUUCCUGAAACUUUGGCCACUUCUGGUCCCUGGUCGGUGUCGGGGUCGGGGUGUCAGGGGAGUGACCUCCACAGCCGAGUGGGCAGUACCCCACCCGACACCCAGACCCUUGGAGCUCAGCCCCCUGCUCAACCCAGAGGGUGAGGAGAGUUGGGGCGGUGUGUGGGGUCCCUGAUGCCAGCAUGGCCUCAGCUGGGCCCUUGCUCCACCCUGGAAUUCCAGGACUCCCUUCCUGCUGGGAAUAUUGGGAGUGGCCUCCCACCCCCACUGACACCUGCCCUGGCGUCCCAGGGGACCCUGCCCAUCAUGCGAGCUCACCCAGCACUGCAGGUGCUCACUGGCCACUCUCGGGGGAGUUUGCUGGGUGUGGGGACGGCUGCUGGAGGCAGAUUCUGGGUGGGCCUCCAGCACUCCCCUUUGCAGUGCGUCUCCUGAGGGAGGCAGCUCAUCCUGCAUGCCCCUGAUGGCCCAGAGGUUCAGGGCACCGAGGGGGUCCCAUAUGCCAGGGCUGCUCCAUAGGGACUGGCCUGGAGUGUGUGAGCGAGAGCAAGGCCUUGUGGGCAUGGGUUGGACAAUAGGACCAUGCGGCUGGAACUGGAGCUGUUGAUACAAGUCCUGCUCUGUGGCUGGUGUGUCCUGGAGCAGAGCAGGGAGCUGGAGGUAACUGAGGGUUCGGUGGGGAAGAAAUUGGAAGGUGGGGGUGGGGACAUUCAGCAUCCAUGAGGAGGGUGGCUGGUUGGGGUGUCCAAGGGAGCCCAGCCCAAGUGGGCAGUGCCACCUUUCCCAGAGAGGGAAGUCUGCUCCCAGCCUGCACAUGUAGCCAUCACAGGCUGCACCCUGAAGGGAGCCUCAUACCCCCCAGGCCCUGAGUCCUGGAUCCUUCCAGAAGUCUGUCCACUUCCCGAGCUCAGUUGUGAGCUGUCACCACACUUACUGUGUGCGGCUCCCUCGUGCUGAAUGAAGCUCCUGGGCCCCAAGGGUGUGGGUGGUUGGGAUGUCCCCACCAUUGGCCCGCCGUCCAGGAGGGGCUGUGGUCAUGCAGGAGUGAGAGGGGGGCAGGAGCCCAAGGGCGCACAUACUCUGUGUGCAACGUGGGCCUGUCCCUUGUCUGGGGGCAGCCUCUUCGAGGAUGGGCUGCUGCCCACUUGACACUGGAUGUCCUCGGGCUGAGGAAG